AUUGAACGCUGGCGGCGUGCUUAACACAUGCAAGUCGAUCGGUAACGCGGGGGCAACCCUGGCGACGAGAGGCGGACGGGUGAGGAACGCUUGGGAAUCUGCCCUUCAGCGGGGGACAACACGGGGAAACUCGUGCUAAUACCGCAUACGCUCCACGGAGGAAAGCCGGGGACCGCAAGGCCUGGCACUGAAGGAUGAGCCCAAGUCGGAUUAGCUAGUUGGCGGGGUAACGGCCCACCAAGGCGACGAUCCGUAGCUGGUCUGAGAGGACGAUCAGACACACUGGGACUGAGACACGGCCCAGACUCCUACGGGAGGCAGCAGUGGGGAAUAUUGGACAAUGGGGGAAACCCUGAUCCAGCGACGCCGCGUGGGUGAAGAAGGCCUGCGGGUUGUAAAGCCCUUUCGGUAGAGACGAAAGCUCUCGACCUAACACGUCGGGAGGUUGACUUAACCUACAAAAGAAGCACCGGCUAACUCUGUGCCAGCAGCCGCCGUAAAAC
rnacentral:rRNA from 1 species